rnacentral:rRNA from 1 species
CCCAGACUCCUACGGGAGGCAGCAGUGGGGGAUAUUGCACAAUGGGGGGAACCCUGAUGCAGCGACGCCGCGUGGGUGAAGGAGCGUUUCGGCGCGUAAAGCCCUCUCGGCAGGGAAGAAGGAGGACGGUACCUGACUAAGAAGCCCCGGCUAACUACGUGCCAGCAGCCGCGGUAAUACGUAGGGGGCAAGCGUUAUCCGGAUUUACUGGGUGUAAAGGGGGCGCAGGCGGCAGCGCAAGCCAGGAGUGAAAGCCCGGGGCCCAACCCCGGGACUGCUCUUGGAACUGCGCGGCUGGAGUGCAGGAGGGGCAGGCGGAAUUCCUGGUGUAGCGGUGAAAUGCGUAGAUAUCAGGAGGAACACCGGUGGCGAAGGCGGCCUGCUGGACUGCGACUGACGUUGAGGCCCGAAAGCGUGGGGAGCAAACAGGAUUAGAUACCCCUGUAC